rnacentral:rRNA from 1 species
GUAGGGAAUAUUGGGCAAUGGUCGGAAGACUGACCCAGCCAUGCCGCGUGCAGGAAGACGGCCCUCUGGGUUGUAAACUGCUUUUAUCUGGGAAGAAAAAGGCCAUGCGUGGCAAAUUGCCGGUACCAGAUGAAUAAGCACCGGCUAACUCCGUGCCAGCAGCCGCGGUAAUACGGAGGGUGCGAGCGUUGUCCGGAUUUAUUGGGUUUAAAGGGUGCGUAGGCGGCUGAUUAAGUCAGCGGUGAAAGACUUCGGCUUAACCGGAGCAGUGCCGUUGAUACUGGUUGGCUUGAGUGUCGGAGGGGUACAUGGAAUUGAUGGUGUAGCGGUGAAAUGCAUAGAUGCCAUCAGGAACACCGAUAGCGAAGGCAUUGUACUGGCCGACAACUGACGCUGAUGCACGAAAGUGUGGGGAUCGAACAGGAUUAGAUACCCUGGUAGUCC